GAUGAACGCUGGCGGCGUGCCUAAUACAUGCAAGUCGAGCGAACAGAUGAGGAGCUUGCUCCUCUGACGUUAGCGGCGGACGGGUGAGUAACACGUGGAUAACCUACCUAUAAGACUGGGAUAACUUCGGGAAACCGGAGCUAAUACCGGAUAAUAUAUUGAACCGCAUGGUUCAAUAGUGAAAGACGGUUUUGCUGUCACUUAUAGAUGGUUCCGCGCCGCAUUAGCUAGUUGGUAAGGUAACGGCUUACCAAGGCAACGAUGCGUAGCCGACCUGAGAGGGUGAUCGGCCACACUGGAACUGAGACACGGUCCAGACUCCUACGGGAGGCAGCAGUAGGGAAUCUUCCGCAAUGGGCGAAAGCCUGACGGAGCAACGCCGCGUGAGUGAUGAAGGUCUUCGGAUCGUAAAACUCUGUUAUUAGGGAAGAACAAAUGUGUAAGUAACUAUGCACGUCUUGACGGUACCGAAUCAGAAAGCCACGGCUAACUACGUG
rnacentral:rRNA from 1 species